GAUGAACGCUGGCGGCGUGCCUAAUACAUGCAAGUCGAGCGAACAGACGAGGAGCUUGCUCCUUCGACGUUAGCGGCGGACGGGUGAGUAACACGUAGGUAACCUACCUAUAAGACUGGGAUAACUUCGGGAAACCGGAGCUAAUACCGGAUAAUAUUUCGAACCGCAUGGUUCGAUAGUGAAAGAUGGCUUUGCUAGCACUUAUAGAUGGACCUGUGCCGUAUUAGCUAGUUGGUAAGGGAACGGCUUACCAAGGCAACGAUACGUAGCCGACCUGAGAGGGUGAUCGGCCACACUGGAACUGAGACACGGUCCAGACUCCUACGGGAGGCAGCAGUAGGGAAUCUUCCGCAAUGGGCGCAAGCCUGACGGAGCAACGCCGCGUGAGUGAUGAAGGUCUUCGGAUCGUAAAACUCUGUUAUUAGGGAAGAACAAAAGUGUAAGUAACUGUGCACGUCUUGACGGUACCUAAUCAGAAAGCCACGGCUAACUACGUG
rnacentral:rRNA from 1 species